rnacentral:rRNA from 1 species
UACGGAGGGUGCAAGCGUUAUCCGGAUUCACUGGGUUUAAAGGGUGCGUAGGCGGGUAAGUAAGUCCGUGGUGAAAUCUCUGAGCUUAACUCAGAAACUGCCGUGGAUACUAUUUGCCUUGAAUAUUGUGGAGGUGAGCGGAAUAUGUCAUGUAGCGGUGAAAUGCUUUGAUAUGACAUAGAACACCAAUUGCGAAGGCAGCUCACUACACAAUCAUUGACGCUGAGGCACGAAAGCGUGGGGAUCAAACAGG